rnacentral:rRNA from 1 species
AUUGAACGCUGGCGGCAUGCCUUACACAUGCAAGUCGAACGGUAACGCGGGGCAACCCGGCGACGAGUGGCGAACGGGUGAGUAACGCAUCGGAACGUGCCCAAUAGUGGGGGAUAGCCCGGCGAAAGCCGGAUUAAUACCGCAUACGACCUACGGGUGAAAGCAGGGGAUCGCAAUACCUUGCGCUAAUGGAGCGGCCGAUGUCAGAUUAGGUUGUUGGUGGGGUAAAAGCCCACCAAGCCGACGAUCUGUAGCUGGUCUGAGAGGACGACCAGCCACACUGGGACUGAGACACGGCCCAGACUCCUACGGGAGGCAGCAGUGGGGAAUUUUGGACAAUGGGCGCAAGCCUGAUCCAGCCAUGCCGCGUGCGGGAUGAAGGCCUUCGGGUUGUAAACCGCUUUUGUUAGGGAAGAAAUCUUUUGAGCUAAUACCUCGGAAGGAUGACGGUACCUAAAGAAUAAGCACCGGCUAACUACGUGCCAGCCGCCGCCGUAA